AUCGCUUUGAAGUGCCACACCUUAAAGCUGACGUUUUCAGAAGAGAACCUUGUUGUUUUAAGGUCUCAUUUUGUCAAAAUUUUGUAUGACUGAUAUAACGUUAAUACUUAUUUCAUUAUUGCUCUGUGUAUGUGUGACCUUCAUCAUUUGAGGUUAUGUGUUGAUUUCACCUCUGAAUAUUUCCUCUUAUAGGUCCAUCAUCCUUGCACACACUCAAAAGCAUUGAUAAAUGCUGAAUUUAAAAGAAUCACUACUGUCUAAUGUUCCUGCGUGUCACCUGGACCUCCAAUCCAAAAACCUGACGAAACUCUUCUAUCAGAAAGGAGGACAGCUAGCAAAAAGGCUUGGAACAAUCAAUGAUCAAAUGACAGAAGGCAUGGAUGAAGUCAGCAUCAGUGAGGUCAUUUGAAGACACCACUGUUGGGAUUUGUGCUCUCAAACAACAUGCUUCUUGUGAUGAAGAAGAGGAUCUUUGUAUAGUCCUGGAAGCCAUGAAGGUGUUGCAACAUCGUGCCAUGUUGUUUGAGCUGAUGUAUGCCUUAAACCUGAGCUAUCCUGAUCUCCGCUUUAUUUUUGAGGAAAUCCAAAAGAUUUUAAUGGAACUGCAUUGAGCGUAACUUUAACGAACCGUUUCUUUCAGUGAAAGGAUCAGAAAGACUGUGCUGCUCAUGUUCCUUUUAUUUAUCUUUUUUAAGUGUUUUCUCUUAUUAAAACAUUAACAGUUUGCUGCUCAGAGUUGAUUUUGGAAAUGGUUGUUGUAUUUUGUUUUUGUUGAAUCUUUGAUUAUCAGUUUAUACAAAUGCUGUAGCUCUGACUUUCUGAAGGAUUGAUAUUUUCCAGUUUGUAAAUCCAUUUAAAAAAUAAUAGUACUUACUGUUUUGCAUGUCUCUUUGGAAUGCAGUGUUUGUGCUUUAGCACUUCUAAAUCUACUGUGAUAGUAACUAUUUUAAACAUUUGGGUCAGUUUCACAGAUGGGGCUUUUCCUAGUCCCAGACUUUUGCAAUGCCUUAAUUUGAAAACAUAUUGCACUGACAUAUCUUGACAUAUAUCAGUGCCAUUGUUUUGUCUCAAGAUGUACUCCAGUGUUGUUUUUGUAAUGUAGGUUUGUUUGUAAACUUUUUUUGUAAAAAAUAUCCUAAUAUAACUAGGGCCUAGUCAUGGAUUAAUCUACAACCUGUUUCGGAAAUUGCCCCUUUGUAUGUACUGCAUGUGCUGAUUGUUGUAAUAGUUAUUGACUGUUAAUGAAUUAAUGUGUAGUGAUUUAAAUUAAUUGAUGAUCUGAAAGCAGUGGUUUGCCUCAAUAUCACUAAACAUUUGUUCAAAACUCUUUGCUUUUUAUGCCAAUGCAAAUGUAUUUUGUAUUUAAAAAAGAAAUAAAUAACAUUUGGAUAAUUAUGGGUGAUUAUUCUGGGGCCAGAGACAUAAUGAAAUUGCUUUAGAGUUACAUAAUCCCAUAAUAUAAGCAUUAAAAAAGCAUGUUGGAAUUACAGAUGAAAAUCUAGUCCCCUUACAUAAUAAAAUUACUUAAACAUUACAAAAUAAAUGUGUUAUAGUAAAGAGAAAUAGCACUUUGAGUCAACAUAUUUAUAUUAGACUACUUAAAACAAUUAAAAUGUUUUGGUCUGACACAUAAAAAUUAAAUGAGGAAAAUUAUGUUGGUUUUACACAAUCGGAUUAUGUGGGACCGAUGUACACAUUAAAAUUACGUAAAUUGAAAGGAUU